AUGUGUGUCCCGGAAGAUCAAGGAGGUAUAGGAUUUCCAGAUAUACACUGUUUCAAUCUAGCUUUAUUAGCCAAACAACCGUGACGGCUACUUGAUAAUCCAAAUUCUUUAUGUGCUACUAUCUUGAGAGCUAAAUAUUAUUUAGAGGCUGAUUUAAUGUGUAAAUAUGAAAAUGAUUCGUCUUUUACUUGGCAAAGCAUCAUGGCGGGAGUAAACUCUCUUAAAAAUGGUUAUAUCUGGAGAGUUGAAGUGGACGUAAUAUUGAUAUUUGGAGAGAUGCAUUGA
rnacentral:rRNA from 1 species